AGUGGCGAACGGGUGAGUAACGCGUGGGAAUCUGCCCUGGAGUGGGGAACAACAGUUGGAAACGACUGCUAAUACCGCAUACGCCCUGAGGGGGAAAGGCUUCGGCCGCUCUUGGAUGAUCCCGCGUCUGAUUAGCUUGUUGGUGGGGUAACGGCCUACCAAGGCGACGAUCAGUAGCUGGUCUGAGAGGAUGAUCAGCCACACUGGGACUGAGACACGGCCCAGACUCCUACGGGAGGCAGCAGUGGGGAAUAUUGGACAAUGGGGGAAACCCUGAUCCAGCAAUGCCGCGUGAGUGAAGAAGGCCUUAGGGUUGUAAAACUCUUUCGCCGGUGAAGAUGAUGACUGUAGCCGGUAAAGAAGCCCCGGCUAACUCCGUGCCAGCAGCCGCGGUAAUACGGAGGGGGCUAGCGUUGUUCGGAUUUACUGGGCGUAAAGCGCACGUAGGCGGCAUAUUAAGUUAGAGGUGAAAGGCCUGGGCUCAACCUAGGAACUGCCUUUAAUACUGAUAUGCUUGAGUUCGGAAGAGGGUAGUGGAAUUCCAAGUGUAGAGGUGAAAUUCGUAGAUAUUUGGAAGAACACCGGUGGCGAAAGCGGCUACCUGGUCCGAUACUGACGCUGAGGUGCGAAAGCGUGGGGAGCGACAGGAUUAGAUACCCUGGUAGUUCACGUGUA
rnacentral:rRNA from 1 species